AACGCACGAGACCUGCGGACCUGCGGAAGGAUCAUUACAGAGUUGCAAAACUCCAAACCAUUGUGAACUUACCUUUGCCGUUGCUUCGGCGGGCGGCCCGGGUCCCGACCCGGCGCCCCCCGGCCCCGUCAGGGGCGCCCGCCGGAGGUAAACCAAACUCUUGAAUUGUAUGGCCUCUCUGAGUCUUCUGUACUGAAUAAGUCAAAACUUUCAGCAACGGAUCUCUAGAUCGGAAGAGCA
rnacentral:misc_RNA from 1 species